UCCCACCACUACCUCUGGGAACGCUGUAGAAUCCAGGGCAGGGCUGGAAGCCAGGUUAUUUGGAUUCCAAUGCCAUCCCCGCUGUUUACUGACCACCUGACUUCCAGUCCGGGAUCAUUUUGCUCUGGCUUCUUUACAGAAAUGUGAACGCGAGCAACUGGCACCGUUCUACCUGUGCUUUUGAUGGCCCCGAUGGUGUUUACAAAGGUGACCACAAAGCGAUGCUGCUCUUUGCUGUGGCAGCAAAGGUGAACGCAGCAUCAUCCCUGAAGGCUCCAGCGUGGCCUCCUGGGAGGCAGGGUCAGGGAAUAGGAGGUGUGGCCUUGUUGGAGCAGGUGUGUCACUGUGGGUAUGGCUUUAAGACCCUCAUCCUAGCUGCCUGGAGGUCAGUAUCCUGCUAGCAGCCUUCAGAUGAAGAUGUAGAACUCUCAGCUCCUCUUGCACCAUGCCUGCCUACAUGCUGCCAUGUUCCUGCUUUGAUGAUAAUGGACUGAACCUCUGAACCUGUAAGCCAGCUCCAAUUAAAUGUUGUCCUUUAUAAG